rnacentral:sRNA from 1 species
CCUGUCUGUAGUCCCAGCUAUUUGGGAGGCUGAGGAAGAAAGACUGCUUGAGCCCAGGACUUCUUCAAGAUAAGCCUGGGCAAUAUAGCAAGGCCUCAUCUCCCUCACC